AGUGAACGCUGGCGGUAGGCCUAACACAUGCAAGUCGAACGGCAGCACAGUAAGAGCUUGCUCUUACGGGUGGCGAGUGGCGGACGGGUGAGGAAUACAUCGGAAUCUACUUUUUCGUGGGGGAUAACGUAGGGAAACUUACGCUAAUACCGCAUACGACCUACGGGUGAAAGCAGGGGAUCUUCGGACCUUGCCCGAUUGAAUGAGCCGAUGUCGGAUUAGCUAGUUGGCGGGGUAAAGGCCCACCAAGGCGACGAUCCGUAGCGGGUCUGAGAGGAUGAUCGGCCAAACUGGAACUGAGACACGGUCCAGACUCCUACGGGAGGCAGCAGUGGGGAAUAUUGGACAAUGGGCGCAAGCCUGAGCCAGCCAUACCGCGUGGGUGAAGAAGGCCUUCGGGUUGUAAAGCCCUUUUGUUGGGAAAGAAAAGCAGCAGGUUAAUACCCCGCUGUUCUGACGGUACCCAAAGAAUAAACACCGGCUAACUUCGU
rnacentral:rRNA from 1 species